GACGAAGGGGGCUAGCGUUGUUCGGAAUUACUGGGCGUAAAGCGCGUGUAGGCGGUUGUUCAAGUCAGGUGUGAAAGCCUUGAGCUCAACCCAAGAAAUGCACUUGAUACUGGAUGACUAGAGGACCGGAGAGGAUAGUGGAAUUCCCAGUGUAGUGGUGAAAUACGUAGAGAUUGGGAAGAACACCAGUGGCGAAGGCGGCUAUCUGGACGGUUUCUGACGCUAAGACGCGAAAGCGUGGGGAGCAACAGG
rnacentral:rRNA from 1 species